UGCGAGUCGAGAGGGUUCGGCCCUCGGCUGACGGCUCAGUAACACGUGGAUAAUCUGCCCUUAGGUGGAGGAUAACCUCGGGAAACUGAGAAUAAUACUCCAUAGGCCUAGGAUGCUGGAAUGCACUUAGGCUGAAAGUUCCGACGCCUAAGGAUGAGUCUGCGGACUAUCAGGUUGUAGUCAGGGUAAAGACCUGACUAGCCUACGACGGAUACGGGUUGUGAGAGCAAUAACCCGGAGAUGAUAUCUGAGACACGAUAUCAGGCCCUACGGGGCGCAGCAGGCGCGAAAACUUCACACUGUGCGAAAGCACGAUGAGGGAAUCCCAAGUGCCAGCUCGUAAGAGUUGGCUGUUUUUCUGUCUAAAACACAGAGAGAGUAAGAGCUGGGUAAGACGGGUGCCAGCCGCCGCGGUAAUACCUGCAGCUCGAGUGGUGGCCGCUAUUAUUGGGCCUAAAACGUCCGUAGCCGGUUUAGUAAAUGCCUGGGUAAAUCGUGUAGCUUAACUAUACGAAUUCCGGGUAGACUGCUGAACUUGAGACCGGGAGAGGCUAGAGGUACUCCUGGGGUAGAGGUGAAAUUCUGUAAUCCUAGGGGGACCACCAGUGGCGAAGGCGUCUAGCUAGAACGGAUCUGACGGUGAGGGACGAAGCCCUGGGGCGCGAACCGGAUUAGAUACCCGGGUAGUCCAGG
rnacentral:rRNA from 1 species